GUCGGGUACACGUCACGCGGUAUCGUCGCUCCGACAUCGACGGCAGAACGGAAGCCGGUGAAAUCCCGGCACGGUCGCGCCACUGUGUGCCCCUCCUUCUUCGUGAAGGCAGAGGUGAGUCAGACCCGUAGCCGUCGUACGGAGCACUAC
rnacentral:ncRNA from 1 species